rnacentral:rRNA from 1 species
CCUACGGGAGGCAGCAGUGAGGAAUAUUGGUCAAUGGCCGCAAGGCUGAACCAGCCAUGCCGCGUGCAGGUCAGUGCCCUAUGGGCGUUAAACUUCUUUUGUGCGGGAGCAAUAAUGGUCACGUCUGGCCAGACUAGAAUACCGUACGAAUAAGCAUCGGCUAACUCCGUGCCCGCAGCCGCGGUAAUACGGGGGAUGCAAGCGUUAUCCGGAUUUAUUGGGUUUAAAGGGUGCGUAGGCUGUGAGGUAAGUCAGCGGGGAAAUGCCCCCGCUCAACGGGGGGAAGUGCCAUUGAUACUGCCUUGCUGGAAUGCGGAUGCCGUGGGAGGAAUGUGUGGUGUAGCGGUGAAAUGCAUAGAUAUCACACAGAACACCGAUUGCGAAGGCAUCUCACGAAUCCGCGAUUGACGCUGAGGCACGAAAGCGUGGGUAUCAAACAGGAUUAGAUACCCGUGUAGUC